GGUGAUCUACCCAUGUCCAGGAUGAAGGUAAGGUAAUACUUACUGGAGGUCCGAACCCACGCACGUUGAAAAGUGCGGGGAUGAGGUGUGGGUAGCGGAGAAAUUCCAAUCGAACUUGGAGAUAGCUGGUUCUCUCCGAAAUAGCUUUAGGGCUAGCCUCGAGGUAAAGAGUCAUGGAGGUAGAGCACUGUUUGGACUAGGGGCCCUUCUCGGGUUACCGAAUUCAGAUAAACUCCGAAUGCCAUGUACUUAUACUCGGGAGUCAGACUGCGAGUGAUAAGAUCCGUAGUCGAAAGGGAAACAGCCCAGACCACCAGUUAAGGUCCCCAAAUAUAUGUUAAGUGGAAAAGGAUGUGGGGUUGCUUAGACAACCAGGAUGUUGGCUUAGAAGCAGCCACCAUUGAAAGAGUGCGUAAUAGCUCACUGGUCGAGUGACCCCGCGCCGAAAAUGUACCGGGGCUAAACAUAUUACCGAAACUGUGGAUGAACCUCUUUAGAGGUUCGUGGUAGGAGAGCGUUCUAAGGGCGGUGAAGUCAGACCGGAAGGACUGGUGGAGCGCUUAGAAGUGAGAAUGCCGGUAUGAGUAGCGAAAGAAGGGUGAGAAUCCCUUCCACCGAAUAUCUAAGGUUUCCUGAGGAAGGCUCGUCCGCUCAGGGUUAGUCGGGACCUAAGCCGAGGCCGAUAGGCGUAGGCGAUGGACAACAGGUAGAGAUUCCUGUACCAGUGCUAAUUGUUUAACCGAUGGGGUGACACAGAAGGAUAGGGAAUCGCACGAAUGGAAAUGUGCGUCC
rnacentral:rRNA from 1 species